CCGAGGUGCAGCGGCCACCGAACGCAUCGGGGGCAGGGCACGCAGAGGUGCCGCGUGGCGAGGCCGGGAAGGAACGGAGGUGCAGGGACUGGGACUCUUUACCGGAAGUCGGAAGGGUCGGACGGAAGCAGAACGGAAUGGAAGAUCACUGAAAACCAAGGAAUAUCUCUUACUGAAAACCCUUCAUCUGAAUUCUAGACCUCUGAAGAUGUGGCUAUUUAACAGCAACUGUGAUGUCAAAGGGCUUUAACUUUAAGUGGAAAUGUCAGGACUAUGCAUCUGAACACAGAAUUUGAUGGCGGCAGCCUUUAAGAUGACCCCGUAUGAUCCUUUUCUCCUGCUGUUCAGACCACUUGAAAUCCCCACAAUUUGAAUAUGAGCUGAAUGUGGUGUCUCCUGCCUUUAACAAAAAGAAAAAAAUAUCAGUUUUCACUUCCAAAAUUAGGUUACAGAAAGACCAUGGCUUUUGUUUUGGAUUGCCCUCACCUGCUUUGAAGAAAGCUAGAUGCCAUGUUGUGAGCUGCCCUAUGAAGAAACCCAUAUGGCAAGAAACUGAUGUCUCCAACCAUAGCAAUGAGGACCUGGUGGCUGCCAACAGCCAUGUGAGUGAGCCUGGAAGCAUACCACCCCCAGUCAAGCUUUGAUAUGGUCCAACUCUGGUCGAAGCACCUAAAUAGGCUCUGUUAGAUACCCUAAAAUAGAGAUGCUAGACUAAGCUACACCAGAUUCCUAAUCCUUUCAGGCAGUAAAUUUUAAGUCAGUAAUUUAUAUUGAGUCAGUAAAUUAAGUGCAUUUCCUGUGAUUUCCAUGUGCAUCCAGAAUUCUUGAAAGACAAAUGCUGAAGCCAGGAACUAAUAUCAGUGGAAGUUAAAUUUGUUAAUGCUUUCCAUCUACCCCAAAUGAUUUUCACUUGAAGUGAAAAUCAGCCACUUAUACAAUAACAAGUGUCAUGGGAAAAUUGUCAUCACAAACAAUGAAGAAUGUUGUCCUGAAAGAGUUCUGAUAUCGACAAGUAUUGCUAAAAUUUAAACUUAAGGAUCAGCUGUGGCCAUUUUAACAACUAUUUCAGAAAUGAAAAAAGUAUUAAAUGAGAAACUAUAUCGAGAAAGUCUUCAAACCUUGGGAAUCUAAUUCUAUGGAUUCUGUGCUUGCUUUCUGAUUUUCAGUGACCCUUCACUGAGCCACAUAGCCCUUUACUUGUCAUCACUUCAAUGACUAAUCAAGUCUGCGGAUUUGGGGAAGAACAACUGAUGUACAGCCAUGCAAAGGAAAAUGCAAGGAGUGAUUUGCUAUCAGUACAGCAGCACACAGCAGAUGAUUUAGUAUUUCAAGCAAUUCAUUUUUCUGCAAUCAUUUCUUUUCAGCUCUCUUCAUUUGAUCAUGUUUAAUGUAUGAUGAUGAUACAUUAUUCACUCAAUACUCUUGAUUUCACUUUCAAAAGCAUGGAAAUUAAUCCAAAUCAAAACUAACAUGUACCACCCCCCCCCCCAAAAAAAAUCCACCCUCUUGAAGUUUGCAUAGUCCAAUCCUCAUUUUAAAAAAGAACAGAUGUAAUUUCAAAAAUAGGACCAUGGCUAAUUAAACCAGUGUUUUUUUCUAACCAUGGUUACUCAGAAUUCUUAGAGGCUAAUCUAUUUGUAGACACUCCAGGAAUCCCAAAAGGCUAAAGGCAAUAAAAAGAAAGGGAGAGAAAGAGAAAGUCUAUGGUGUGGGGUGGUACCAGGAGUGCACUAUUUAUACACCUUGUGUGCAAAGUAACAACUUUUCCAUAGUUUUGAAAAAACGAGGGGGUGUGGCAAAAUAGGGAACACAGCAACAUUUGAAAAGCUUUUAAAUGAGCCAUUUCCACACAAGCACAUUUCUGGUGGUUGAGUUGCACAUUUUGUUUUACCUUAUAGGACAGAAUAAUGAUGCAGUGAUAUUCACAAGGCAAAAGAUGGAGGCCCGCUGAAAUAGACAUAGAAGAAAGAAUUCUUUAUUUUGAAUUGAAAAUGCUUGUGCUGUGGAGAGCCAGAAAUUUAAAGAAACUCAGCCUUUGUUUCUCCUCAUUCUCCCCUUUUGUUUUCAUUCACCCCCUUCUUUGGUGAAUUUUGUAGGCAGCCUGUUGUUUCAGGGGCCACAGGUUUAUGGAAAGCCAGAGAUCUGAAGUAUGCACCAUUUGGAGAAUGCAGAAGGGGAUUUAAAAUGGAUGUGUGUGGCACCAGUGACAGCUGAACUGGCUGUUAACGUGGGAUCUUGUUAAGUUAGCUACAGAAUACCAGAAGCCCAGCAAUGGCACCGCAGAGGGAUCAGACUUGUAUUAAUACUAACAUUGCCGAACCAUGAUCUUAGAAUAGGGACUUGGAUUCUUGUUCCAGAGUGGACUCCAGUAUGGGCUUAACAAUACUGUCUUACUUCAGCCUGCAUAUUAUCAAAACUACUUAUUUUUCGUAGGGUAGGCUAGGACUAGAGGACGAUAAUGAUGGUAUUAACCGCAAACUCUUACGUAGCACUCACUGGGUGCCACCUCCAUUCAGAGUGCCAUCUACAUAAUAACUCAGUUAAUCCUCAAUACCCCACUGAUUCUCAGUGGAAGGGAAGAGUUUUGUCCCGCCCCCACCCACCAGGGGACAUUGGGCAAUGUCUAGAGACAUUUUUGGCUGUCACUACUGAAGGGGAAAUGCUACUGGCAUCAUGUGGGUAGGAGCUGGGGAUGCCUUAACACCCUACCCCGCAUAGGACUGUCCCUUCAACAAAGAAUUAUCUAGCCCCAAAUGUCAGUAGUGCCACAGUUGGUUGAGAAAACCUGCAUAACCCUAUGAAGUAGAUAGGAUUAUUAUUCCCAUUUGACAGGUGGGGAGACUGAGUCACAGAGAAGUUAAGUCAUUUUGCAUAAGGAAGAGCUGGGGUGUGAACCCAGCAGGCCAUCUCCAACAUCUGGACUCUAACCCUCUUUGCUAUAUGAAAUAGCAGCUUCAGCUGGUUCUCUUGGAAAAAUCAACUUCUCUCCCUGGUGGCAUCAAAUGCAAGGCUCCAGUGUGCUGGCACCACCAAUUGCCUGUUUCUUGAUUAGAGAGAGAAGUGAUCAUUGUAAAGCUCACCAUCUACAGGGGACAAGUUGGCAGUGCCUAUCAAAACUGAAACUACAUCUUUCCUUUGGCCAAACCAGGGUGAAAAGAUGAAUGCAGAAGGGUAAUCAGUGCAGUGUUGUUUGAACAAAGAAUACAAACUUCAUUGACAGGGAGCAGGUAAAUGCCUUGUGAGGUGUUCCAUAAGCAGCAGAGGAUGGAAUAUUCUCAGCUCUUCAACGAGAGGUAAAUUUUUGCAUUGAUCCAAAGGAUCAUUAGGACCUAUUGUUAAAAAAAAGGAAAGAAAAAGGUAACUAAGUGAGGUGGUGGAUGUGUUAAUACACUGGAUUGUAGUCAUUUCACAAAUGUGUACAUAUAUCAAAUCAUGUUGUAUAAAUACAUACAAUUUUAUUUGUUAAUUAUACCAAUAAAGUUGGGGGUGGGGAGAGACUUGUUAAACCAAAAAGGAGAAAAUUUUAAAAUAAAAUAAAAUAAAUAUAAUAAAACAAUAAAUAAAAAAUCAAACAAUAACUUAAAAAUAAAACAAUAAAUACAUCUUGUGCAGUAUACAACUAUUUGAAACAAAAGGAAAGUAUGUGUGAAUAUAUUUUAUUUAUGUUUUUUGUUUUGUAUAUAUCCAUACAUCUAGAAUCUCUCUAGAUGGGACACACAAAACUGAUCCUAAGGUACUAAGAAGAAGGAAACCUUAUUUACCAUAUACCUUUUGCACUGUUUGAAAACUGAUUUUACCAUGUGCACAUAUUGCCUUUUAUAAAUAAAAUGCUUCAUGCUUUACAAAGAACUUUUAUUUGCAUUGUUUCCUGUGUUGCUCACCCCAUUUUAGAGAUGGCAACACCAGAGCAGAGAAGUGGCCUGAGCUACCCGAGGCCACUCACUUCCGGCUGCCCCCACAUAUCGCCCUUCAUCAUUUCCCAAAGCAUUCAGGGAAGUAUCCAUCUGCUUCAUCAGAAGACACUGAAGCCAAGAUACCACAAGGGGCCUUCUAAGA